AGUGCCCUAGUGGUUAUAGUGCUGCGCCUGCAAUUAGAAGUCCCUAGUUCAAACCCCACUA
rnacentral:tRNA from 16 species